ensembl:lncRNA
GAGAAACAGCACUCUCCUUAGCUUCGCCACAGAGCAAUCAGUCAUUGCUACACGGCUGAUCCUCCAAUGCUGCAGUAACCACAGAAACCACACAGAGCUUGGACUGAGCACGUGGUUACGGACACAAUCAUCAUUUUUAACACAGAGAGAUGAAGUCACUCAAUCUUCUCUCGGAUGAAAAUAAAAUAUUGAAAUACAACUUUGGAAAUAAACGUUCUUCCUCCCAAUGGAGAAACGUGUGCUGUGAAGACAAGACUCCAUUUUAAGUCCCUGAGUAAGGGACAAGAAGACCAAUGGGACGGAUUCCUGAGAAGCCAUUAAAAAUUGGAGUGCUCCAACCUCAGAGAAGCCAUCCAGGCAAAGAACUGUUUGGAGGUCCUGCCCUUAUAAUGAAGAAUAAUGAGACCAAGGAGAAUCUGGAUGCAUGAAACCUGAGGAACCCAGAAAGAUCUUGCAGGAUUCCUUCCCCAUGAGAAUCAGAUUCUCUUGCCAACAGUCCACAGCCCAACCAUCAAACAGGAAUAGAGAUGGUGAUCAUCCCACAAAGAAGUCAGCAGCUCCUGGAAGUGCCUGGAAUAAUGAGACUCCCAUGCACCCUCCCACUCCAUUUUCCAUUCUAGAAACAUUCUAUUUCAAUGCGCUCUCCUCCUUUUCAUACUUAUUUUCCAUCUGGGCACCCAUCCAGACAUUAAAAUUCAUAUCUUCCUUGAAGAAAUCUCCAUCACGAAGCUAUCAUUACCCUUGGCUCCAGCAUAGAUAAGUCUCAGAUAUGUGGUUCAGAAGUACCCCAGAGGGAGCUGGGAGGUGGAGGGAAAGCUGAAAGUGUAAUAAACAGAAUAUAUUCAGCAAGGUUUUCCCCAUGUUGGGUCCAUCUGAUUCAGGAAUGCCUCAUGAUCAUUACCAAACCCAGGGAUGAUUUGAGACAGAUGUAUUUAAGGAGUUCUGUCUUUUUUCCUCUUUCUCAAGUUGCCCUUAGUCACCCUGAAAUCAUGACCAGCUUUUUUAGUACAAAAAGGAAACUCCUACAGGCCAAGGAAUGAACUCAUCUGUUCAUCAAUGGAUCCAAGUUCAGGUCCUGUUUCCUGCAUGACUUCUGCAUAUCCUUGCUUUUCAGAGCAGAUACUACUCACAGGGAGCUCAGAAAAGGAAAAUGUACAUGUGACACAGUGAAAAGACAGACCUGGCUCCAACAGUUCUUCACACCAAGAAUAUCCAAAGACAGUCUUUUGGUUUGCAGCUGUAGCCAAGAUAGUGAUGUUCAGAACAUCCUUUUCCAAAUUCACAUUGUUCUGAAUCUGAACUAAUAGAUCAUAAAGUCCCUGAGGGUUAUGUCUUUAAUUAAUUCAGUAUUUAUUGAGUAAUACUAUAUACCAAGCAUUGUACUUAUUUGUCUUUGUAACACCAGUCUUAGUCAUAAUAAGCAUACAAUGAGUGUUUGCUUGUUUGUUUGUUUUGAUGGUUGUUUUCCCAACUAGAAUGCAAGCACUAAGUAGUCAUGGACUUGAACCUGACAUAUCCUGGGUGCUUAAAACACUUUUUUUGAAGUGAUAGAUUAAUUAAUUAAUGAAUGAGUGAAUAAAGUAGUCAACUCACACCAAAAAGUUGUAGCUGACAGUGAUAGGAAGUGGUAUGUUU